GCUUUCCUGUGUAGCGUUUUAAUAGGCAGGCCUCUUCUCUCUCUCUCUCUGUCUGAUUGGCUUUUGCGGUGUGACUAAAGAUCCAGUAUCGCUUUCAUUUCAUUCUCUCUCUCUCUCUCUCUACAAGACGAUUCCGAGGUUAGGUUUUUCUACAAAUUGUCAACGCGUUAGCAGCAGUAUUAAGCUUUUACUGUGGUUGGAUUUCCACCAUUAAGAGCUAUCAUGCAAAAGUAGACAUGGACACAGCUCAAUGCUCAGCCAGGCAGCCCAAGGUGCUUUUGAUUGCCUUGAACUUUUUACAACUGAGGUGAUUUUGGUUCACAGGAUUCACUCAAGAUAUAUAUAUAUAUAUAUAUAUAUAUAUAUGCACUCACUGGAAAAAAAAAAGAUAUAGAGGAAUUUACUUUCUCAUCUCUUUUUCAUUGUAUACUUCAAUGCACACUAAUCUGUCUGUGUAUGUAUGUAUGUAUUGAUUUUAAGUCCUUUUAGGUGUUCAUGGGUUUAAAAAAUUAUUUGAAUUAAAUUCAUCUGUAAAACACAUUAUCAAAUGAGAAUGGUUCUGAGAAUCUCGGAAGAAGUUGUAAGAACAUUCCAUUCUAGAAUAGAAAUUAGAAAAGAAAGUCAUAGAUUUUUGGCAAUAUAUCAGUAUGCUUCAUCUAUUUAGUA